CCUUCUUUUGCAGACGUGAACAUGUGAUACAGUAACAAAUUUUAGUGAUUUCUUCCUCAUUUUUCCCAAUACUUUCUAUGAAAACUUAAACUUCAAGCGCAAAACGGCCCCGAUAUAUUUAAAUUUCAGCACACGUGCACACAUGCUAAGGCAGCCUCACGGCUUCCUGACAGGACAGACAUGUCAUCCUGAUUGCCAGAGUUUGGAGAGCAGCUGCUCCAGGCCGUCAUUUCGAAACAUGGCGUAGGAUUCGUUUUGACCUUAGUCUUUAUGAGCCACCAACGCCCAUGACUGGCAGCGACACGCCGCAGUCAGCGCCACCUCAAGGUGGCAGUCGCGUCGGGCCGGCGAUUGCAGUAGCAGUGCUGGGGCUAGCAGCGUUUGGCGCGUGGUGGUGGUACGAGGAGCGGCGGCGGCGAGGCGGCGACGCCCCCAACCUGAACAUCCUCGGGCAGGAGCUGGCCAGCGCCUUCGGGCUGGCGCCCCGACGGCGGCGGGGCUCCUUCUUCACGCCGGUCGAGGAGGCAGACUGAGGUCACGGCGGCGCCCCCGCGCCGGCCAGAGGGCGCGCCGGGCGUCUGUCGCGGCCGGCGGGCGGGCGCCUGUCCGACGGCCGGCUGGCGGGAUCCAGCGGGAUUAUCGCGCUCCCGGACCAGAUGGCCCGCUGCUGAUGUCGAGUGACGCUGCCAUCACGCCCCGCCCCGCGCUCCCCCCUGACCAGAUGGCGGGGCGUCAACAGCGACUGCAGUCAUCAGCGCACCCAGCCGUCAUUCAACACGUCAUUAAUGGCGGCCCAAGCUCCUUCGCCCGCCGGCGUCCCAGAAGCUCCUUCUAAUUAAAAUGGAAACAGACUUCUGUCACUGCUAAUGGCAGAUGCGGGAGGGGUUUCGUUUUCUAGCCGGAGAUUCCCGUGUGUUUUACAAUGCACGGACGUUUCAUGUGACGAUUUGUGAUCUAGUGGUUUAUUUGACUGGUGGUCCUUGGCACUGGCCGCUGCAGAUAGUAUACUUGUCUAAUAUUUGUAUUCGCCUGUUAAAAAUCCAAUCAGCAUCAAUUCAACCCGUCAGCUAUAGCUAGCUGCAGAUUAAAUGUGAUUUUCUCGCGCCGUUCGAAUGCCGUGCCAUGAUUGUUUUCCAAGAGAACCAAUGCCGCGUUUUAUUACACAAAGCUUGCCGGCCACCUAUUCCAACACUGCCACGUUGCAUUAUCGAAAUAAGCUCGUCCGGCCUAAUUAACGUAGAAGACCACUCACCAAUAAAUCUUUACGUUGA